rnacentral:rRNA from 1 species
GACGAACGCUGGCGGCGUGCCUAAUACAUGCAAGUCGAGCGAAUCUUGAGGUGCUUGCACCUCUUGGUUAGCGGCGGACGGGUGAGUAACACGUGGGCAACCUGCCUGUAAGACUGGGAUAACUUCGGGAAACCGGAGCUAAUACCGGAUAAUCCUUUUUCUCUCAUGAGGAAAAGCUGAAAGUCGGUUUACGCUGACACUUACAGAUGGGCACGCGGCGCAUUAGCUAGUUGGUGAGGUAACGGCUCACCAAGGCGACGAUGCGUAGCCGACGUGGGAGGGUGAGCGGCCACACUGGGACUGAGAGACGGCCCAGACGCCUACGGGAGGCAGAAGUAGGGAAUCUUCCGCAAUGGACGAAAGUCUGACGGAGCAACGCCGCGUGAGCGAUGAAGGCCUUCGGGUCGUAAAGCUCUGUUGUUAGGGAAGAACAAGUAUCGGAGUAACUGCCGGUACCUUGACGGUACCUAACCAGAAAGCCACGGCUAACUACGUGCCAGCCGCCGCCGUAA